rnacentral:rRNA from 1 species
UGGUGGAGUGAUCUGUCUGGUUAAUUCCGUUAACGAACGAGAUCUUACCCUACUAAAUAGACAAUUGAACAAUUUUCUUCUUUAGAGGGACUCUUGAUCGUUCAGAUCAAGGAAGUUUGAGGUAAUAACA